UGUAAUUAUGGCGAAAACACAGUACACCAAAUAAGUGACUAACUGAGAAAACACAGUGCACCAGUCUCGCGAACUUCAAGCGCUCGAGAACAAAAAGGAAGGGCACGCGAUUUUAGCAAAACCUCAAGAACAACAAACCCUCAAUCCCUCUCUCGAUUCGAAACUCUCUCAAUCAGGACAAUCCCUCACUCUCACUCGUCCUCUCUCACUCGUUCUGUCAAUUUCGUCAUCUCUCUCGGUGGUUCUCGAACCCUAGGUCCCAAAUCGAAGUUCAGUGAAACAAAUUGAAGCUUCUCUCAGAUCGUUCCUCUCACUACAACUAAAAACACAAACAGGCUGCUGCUACAAGAUCUUUAGCAAGGGGUACCAAUUUUGAUUCAGUUAUUUCUAUGUUGAAGGAGGAUAUUUUGUGUAGUUAAAACUAUUAUUCUAGGAGGAGUUCAAAAACCUUAUUGCUUUGUGAAACGUAUCUUCCCUCGGAUUCAUGAUUCAUGGACUGGUUAUCAUUCUCAAUGAUAUAUUUGGCAGGUUAUUCCACAAUUGUCUACCCCGAUUAAGGUGGAGCCUAAUGAAGGUUCAGCUUCAAUUGCCACGUCCAGCGAAUCCGUGGUUGAUGCUCUCAAAGUUAAGGAAUGGGAAGUAGGAAUGUUUCAUAAUGAGGUUGCUGCUACGCAAGGUAUAAGAAUAAGGAGAAGACCACCAACUGGACCACCUAUUCAUUACGUAGGACCUUUUGAAUUCCGGUUGGAGAAUGAAGGCAAUACGCCUCGUAAUAUCUUGGAAGAGAUUAUAUGGAACAAGGACAUAGAAGUCAGACAUGUAUUAUACUUGUAAAAUUUGUAAAAUUCAAACAACCCAAUUCAUUGUGCCAUACAAUCUCCUUGCCCCUGCCAGUUACUAUACAAAAGAUAAAUAAAAUCUUCUCUUUUUUCCCAAAUCAAAACAGGCAUAACUUCCUCCAAAUUUCAACCGGUUAGUAAGCAGCGGUGAAAAAUAAGCAUGCGGGUACUAGAAUAUCCGGAUUUCGCCAAAAAAAACUCCACGGUUCUCUCUUGAUUUGCUUUUAUCUUCUCUCUUUCUUUUUUUUUUUUUUUUUGUAAUGUUUUCCUCUCAAUUUCAUUAUUUCCUGUAUUGAUGGCAUUUUAUUCAUUUAAUUUUUAGUGUGUUUUCAAUGGCAGGGUAAAAAAAUUUAAUGAGAUCACAUGGAUCCCGAGAAAAAAUUGGGUCUUUGUGAGGUAAUUUUUGUGCUUUUUAUUUGCAAUGCCAAUACAUUAUCAUUGCAUUAACUUCCUUUGCAAUUUUCAUGUGGAAGUUUCUCCAAUACAAAUGAAAAGAGAUGUGAAGAUUCUAUAUAAAGAUUAUCCGGUUUGCAAAGGUUUUCAGCAAGCCAAAGACAUAUCUCAUUACUUCAUAAGCUGCUUUUCCUUUGUAUUGGAGAAACUUCCACAUUUGAAUUACCAAGUUUAUGGCUAUUCAAAAAUUGACAAUCCAUUUUUUUUUUCAACUUUAAUUUCAGAUUUUACCUUCUUGAUUUUAGAGUAAUGCUUAAUCCAUAGUUUUUUAUUUUAAAAAACUUGAAUUAAAGUAAUUCUUAUAUGUUCUCAAUUCUCACACGCUUUGCUUCUAACUUCUUCUAUUUGACAUGUUUUAUGUUUUGUUUAGAUGCAAUGCAGGGACUAUAAUAAAAUUAAGAAAGAAGGCCAGUGUUUAUAUAGCCUUGAUAGAGAGAUUGGAAAUUUACUGAAUAUAUGGUUUAUUUAUGUCAAACUUGAUGUAAAAAUGACCGGAAAUAAAAUCCAUUGUGGCUGCAUCUUUCUUUCGGUGUUCGAUGAUCCCACGUCAUUAACCGAGGAGGAGAUGUAUGAAUUGCGAAACAACUGGGCUACUUAUUUUCUUGACCUGUACAAUCCCGAGGUAGAUUAUGUUGUUUCCGAUGAUGAGGUUUAGGAGCUAGCUAGUUACAAUGGAUUCACAUUAACUAGGAUGUUUUGAAUUGUAAUGACUUGUAUUUUGCUUGAAUGUUAUAACAUUUUGGAUUGUUUUGGUAUUUUGCUUGACUUGUAAGACUUGGUAUUUUAUUUGAAUUGUAAUGACUUUGGUUGA